rnacentral:rRNA from 1 species
UACGUAGGCAGCAAGCGUUGUUCGGAGUUACUGGGCGUAAAGGGUGCGUAGGCGGUUGUUUAAGUUUGGUGUGAAAUCUCCCGGCUCAACCGGGAGGGUGCGCCGAAUACUGAACGGCUAGAGUGCGGGAGAGGAGAGUGGAAUUCCUGGUGUAGCGGUGAAAUGCGUAGAUAUCAGGAGGAACACCGGUGGUGUAGACGGCUCUCUGGACCGUAACUGACGCUGAGGAGCGAAAGCGUGGGGAGCGAACAGG